GUUGGUAAGGUAACGGCUUACCAAGGCAACGAUGGAUAGGGGGACUGAGAGGUUGACCCCCCACAUUGACACUGAGAUACGGGUCAAACUCCUACGGGAGGCAGCAGUGAGGAAUAUUGGUCAAUGGGCGAGAGCCUGAACCAGCCAAGUCGCGUGAAGGAAGACUGCCCGCAAGGGUUGUAAACUUCUUUUGUAUGGGAUUAAAGUCACCUACGUGUAGGUGUUUGCAGUUACCAUACGAAUAAGCAUCGGCUAACUCCGUGCCAGCAGCCGCGGUAAUACGGAGGAUGCGAGCGUUAUCCGGAAUUAUUGGGUUUAAAGGGUGCGUAGGUUGCAAGGGAAGUCAGGGGUGAAAAGCUGUAGCUCAACUAUGGUCUUGCCUUUGAAACUCUCUAGCUAGAGUGUACUGGAGGUACGUGGAACGUGUGGUGUAGCGGUGAAAUGCAUAGAUAUCACACAGAACUCCGAUUGCGCAGGCAGCGUACUACAUUACAACUGACACUGAAGCACGAAAGCGUGGGUAUCCAACAGGAUUAGAUACCCUGGUAGUCCACGCAGUAAACGAUGAAUACUAGAUCUAUGCGAUAUACAGUAUGGGUCUAAGCGAAAGCGAUAAGUAUUCCACCUGGGGAGUACGCCGGCAACGGUGAAACUCAAAGAGAUUGGCGGGGGUCCGCACAAGCGGAGGAACAUGUGGUUUAAUUCGAUGAUACGCGAGGAACCUUACCCGGGAUUGAAAUGUAGAUGCAUGAGGCUGAGAGGUCUCUUCCCUUCGGGGCUUCUAUGUAGGUGCUGCAUGGUUGUCGUCAGCUCGUGCCGUGAGGUGUCGGCUUAAGUGCCAUAACGAGCGCAACCCGCGUCGAUAGUUACUAACGAGU
rnacentral:rRNA from 1 species